GUAGGUGGCAAGCGUUGUCCGGAAUUAUUGGGCGUAAAGCGCGCGCAGGCGGUUCUUUAAGUCUGAUGUGAAAGCCCACGGCUCAACCGUGGAGGGUCAUUGGAAACUGGAGAACUUGAGUACAGAAGAGGAAAGCGGAAUUCCACGUGUAGCGGUGAAAUGCGUAGAGAUGUGGAGGAACACCAGUGGCGAAGGCGGCUUUCUGGUCUGUAACUGACGCUGAGGCGCGAAAGCGUGGGGAGCAAACAGGGAUUAGAUACCCUGGUAGUCCACGCCGUAAAUGAUGAGUGCUAAGUGUUAGGGGGGUUUCCGCCCCCCUUAGUGCUGCAGCUAACGCAUUAAGCACUCCGCCUGGGAGUACGGCCGCAAGGCUG
rnacentral:rRNA from 1 species